UCGAGUCAGAGGACGGUCUGGAUCCUCUGAGGAGACACGGCGACUUCAGUGGACCCUGCUGAGGCCAGCAGCCUGUGAGCAAAGAUCCGCCGUUGCAAGUCUCAGAGAGGACAUUACUCACUGGUCUAGUGGUUGAAAGAUGACGCUGUGGUCCAAGAAAUUCAAUGACCAGUGCAGAGGCAACGCUUCCCUGCUGCUGAAGGAGGUCCAGGUCUCUGACCGUGGACGCUACACAUGCUACACCAGCAACUCCAGGGGGCGACAGGAGUCAUCUGUCAACCUGGAAGUGGAAGCUCCAGUUACAAAGGUCUCCAUCGUUCAGGAAGGAGAUGUCAUCACCUGCAGCUCAGAGGGAAUCUACCCAGAGCCUCAGGUCACAUGGUCCAGGAACAAGCCUGCUGACAUCAGGAUAGAGAAGACGGAGCAGCUGCUCUACCACAGUGGAGCAGCAGGAGCGCCACACUGACCACUGCUGCAAGAACCACCAUCACUGAGGACCUCAAAUGGGAGCCAACCGUCAGGUCCCUCAUCAGGAAGGUCCAGCAGAGAAUGUUCUUCCUGAGGCAGCUACGAAAACUAGGACUGCCGACGAAGUUGCCGGUGGAGUUCUACACGGCCAUCAUCCAGUCCAUCCUCACCUCCUCUAUCACCGUCUGGUACAACAGUGCCACCUCAAGAGCAGACUGUAGCACAUCAUACGUUCUGCUGAUGGGUUGCAGCCUGCCACCUCUUGAGGACCUGUAUGUCUCCAGGACCCAGAGACGUGCAGGUGGGAUCAGAGCCGACCCUUCUCACCCUGGACAUGGACUGUUUGUUCCUCUUCCCUCUGGCAGGAGGCUACGGUCCAUCCAGACCAGAACCUCCCGUCACAGGAACAGCUUCUUCCCCUCGGCCGUCAGACUGUUGAAUUCAUGAACAGCCUUGUUGUUAUGUUAUUUUGUUUAAUUUUAUUCUUCUUCUUAUUAUUAUUAUUAUUUUUCAUUUUAUUUAUUUAUUUAUGUAUUUUUGUCAGCACUUUAUUCCCAAACACUGCCAGCUCCCCACUGGCCAUGGCAGUAAAUGACAUAAAUUCUGAUUCUGAUUCAGAGGAGACUGGUGAGUGUGUGUAUGCGGCGUGUCUGUCUGCGCGUGAGUGAGUGAGUGAGUGAGGAAAAUCAAACUAGGAAGCGACAGUCCACGCUGCUCU